UCAGUCGGUCGGGUAGCCGCGCUUGUCAUAUGCCGAAAGGCGGCAGGUGAGGAAAGUCCGGGCUCCACGGAAAUACGGUGCCGGGUAAUGCCCGGCGGGGGCGACCCCAGGGAUAGUGCCACAGAAAGCAGACCGCCCCGUCUUCCGUUUCGUUGCCAAAGCGCGAUCCCCGUAAGCGGAUCACGCUUUGGCAACGGCAGGGAUGACGGGGUAAGGGUGAAAGGGUGGGGUAAGAGCCCACCGCGCCGGUGGCAACACAGGCGGCACGGUAAACCCCACCGGGAGCAAGACCGAAUAGGGACGGCGCGCCGACUCGCAGGAGCCGGCAAUCGAUUUCCGGAUCAGCCGUCCGGGUGGGUUGCAAGAGGCGGGUGGCGACAUCCGUCCCAGAUGAAUGGCUACCACGCCGGGCCAAAGCCCGGCCAUACAGAACCCGGCUUACAGACCGGCUGACAAU
rnacentral:RNase_P_RNA from 1 species